UGGCGACCGGCGCACGGGUGAGUAACGCGUAUCCAACCUGCCUUACUAUGGGACAGCCCGUCGAAAGGCGGAUUAAUACCGUAUGUUGUCAUGUUGAUGCAUAUUUUCUAUGACCAAAGGCUUCGGCCGGUAAAGGAUGGGGAUGCGUCUGAUUAGCUUGCCGGCGGGGUAACGGCCCACCGGGGCGACGAUCAGUAGGGGUUCUGAGAGGAAGGUCCCCCACAUUGGAACUGAGACACGGUCCAAACUCCUACGGGAGGCAGCAG
rnacentral:rRNA from 1 species